rnacentral:lncRNA from 1 species
UUCAAGCCCACUUGACUUGUGCAAUCUGGCCUGGCCGACUUGAUAGAGUGGCGGUUAGUUGGGAUGACUGCUAUUUCAUCCCAUAAAAACCCAUAAAAACCCAGAUUAAGGCCUCCAUAAGAUUUUGGGCAACACAUAACUUCCCAUCUUAGCCAUAUAAUACCUCUAGAGUCAUUCCAUCCAUUGCCACAUAAAAAGUAUUGGAAAGCAAGAAGAUACUCAUUGUAUAGGUCGAAACGAAUUAGAUGACAGAUUUUAUUUUUGUGGAGUCUCUCCAACAUAUGGGACCCACAUGCAUUUGAAAAGAAAAAAAAGAGAAAAUGAGUGGUGUUGUGAGUCACUCCGACAUGUAGAAUCCACAAAAAGUUUGAACAAAGAAAAAACAAGGAACACGUUUUUGUUGUUCAAAAGA